GACGAACGCUGGCGGUGUGCUUAACACAUGCCAGUCGAACGGUAAGGCCCUUUCGGGGGUACACGAGUGGCGAACGGGUGAGUAACACGUGAGUAACCUGCCCUCAUCUCUGGGAUAACAGUCGGAAACGGUUGCUAAUACUGGAUAUGAGCUUGCAAGGCAUCUUGUGGGUUGGAAAGAUUUUUUUUGGUUGGGGAUGGACUCGCGGCCUAUCAGCUUGUUGGUGAGGUAGUGGCUCACCAAGGCUUCGACGGGUAGCCGGCCUGAGAGGGCGACCGGCCACAUUGGGACUGAGAUACGGCCCAAACUCCUACGGGAGGCAGCGGUGGGGAAUAUUGCACAAUGGACGGAAGUCUGAUGCAGCAACGCCGCGUGCGGGAUGACGGCCUUCGGGUUGUAAACCGCUUUCAAUUGUGACGAAGCUUUUUUGUGACGGUAGCAGUAGAAGAAGCACCGGCUAACUACGUG
rnacentral:rRNA from 1 species